rnacentral:misc_RNA from 1 species
UCCGAGUUGACCCCGGCAGUCUCCCAUGAGUCCCCGCCAUUACGCGCUGGCAACAUGGAACGAGGGUUGCGCUCGUUGCGGGACUUAACCCAACAUCUCACGACACGAGCUGACGACAACCAUGCACCACCUGUGAACCGGCCCCAAAGGGGAAACCACAUUUCUGCGGCGAUCCGGCCCAUGUCAAGCCUUGGUAAGGUGGGGAUGACGUAUAGGAACACCAAC